rnacentral:rRNA from 1 species
GACGAACGCUGGCGGCGUGCUUAACACAUGCAAGUCGAACGCUGAAGCUCAGCUUUUGUUGGGUGGAUGAGUGGCGAACGGGUGAGUAACACGUGAGUAACCUGCCUCCUUCUCUGGGAUAACGCCCGGAAACGGGUGCUAAUACUGGAUAUUCACUGGUCUUCGCAUGGGGGUUGGUGGAAAGGGUUUUUCUGGUGGGGGAUGGGCUCGCGGCCUAUCAGCUUGUUGGUGGGGUGAUGGCCUACCAAGGCUUUGACGGGUAGCCGGCCUGAGAGGGUGACCGGUCACAUUGGGACUGAGAUACGGCCCAGACUCCUACGGGAGGCAGCAGUGGGGAAUAUUGCACAAUGGGCGCAAGCCUGAUGCAGCGACGCCGCGUGAGGGAUGGAGGCCUUCGGGUUGUGAACCUCUUUCGCUCAUGGUCAAGCCGCAACAAUGGUUGUGGUGAGGGUAGUGGGUAAAGAAGCGCCGGCUAACUACGUG